GAUGAACGCUGGCGGCGUGCUUAACACAUGCAAGUCGAACGGUGAACCCGGAGCUUGCUCUGUGGGAUCAGUGGCGAACGGGUGAGUAACACGUGAGCAACCUGCCCCUGACUCUGGGAUAAGCGCUGGAAACGGCGUCUAAUACUGGAUAUGUGACGUGACCGCAUGGUCUGCGUUUGGAAAGAUUUUUCGGUUGGGGAUGGGCUCGCGGCCUAUCAGCUUGUUGGUGAGGUAAUGGCUCACCAAGGCGUCGACGGGUAGCCGGCCUGAGAGGGUGACCGGCCACACUGGGAUUGAGACACGGCCCAGACUCCUACGGGAGGCAGCAGUGGGGAAUAUUGCACAAUGGGCGAAAGCCUGAUGCAGCAACGCCGCGUGAGGGAUGACGGCCUUCGGGUUGUAAACCUGUUUUAGCAGGGAAGAAGCGAAAGUGACGGUACCUGCAGAAAAAGCGCCGGCUAACUACGUG
rnacentral:rRNA from 1 species